UGUGUUUCAGAUUCUGCAUCAAUUUUGGACCAAUUAACGGAAGAUAUAAGCGAGUGAGAAAUAAUAGUACAUGAACAAUUUCUUCUGGUGUAGAAGACAAGACAAGACGGCAAGAAGCACAAAUACAAAGAAGGGCAAUUUAAAAACGCCAUUGCAAGCUUCGAUUCUUUGCGGGCUUUUAAUUUAAUUUAUUUUGUUUCGUUUGCUUUUAAAUUUAAUUUUCUAGCUCUAUUCCUCUCUUCUAUUCUAUUCUGUCCCUAAAUUUCAAGUCAGGAAUCUUGUUUCUAGACUUCUACUUUUGUGCUGAUGUUUUUAUCGUUGGAUCAGAUGUAUGCUGUAAUGUUUAGACCGGUGGAGAACAAGAAGAAUAUAGCCCCUGUCCGGCAACCAGCUUCUUUUCCCAACAAAACCGAUGACCACCACCCCCUCUCCAGCAACCAGCUCGAUCUCCUUCAAUAAACCCGACGACAACAGCCCGAUCUCCUCGCUAAAAACCCAAUCCAAGCCAAAACAACGACCCUCUCUCCUGAUCUGUCUUCCUUGUCACCGUCCAAAGCACCACCACCCAAAACCCAAUUCAGCACAGUAAAAUAAAGAAGAAGAACUGACCCAAAAGAUAAUUUUCUUGUUUUUCUU
rnacentral:lncRNA from 1 species